rnacentral:lncRNA from 1 species
UUUUUUUUUUUUUUUGGGUGCUUCACACAUUCUUUAGUUCUCCAAAAGUUUUGUUUCUGUAUACUUGAUUUCACUAGAUUUUUAUUUUCACUCUAAGAAUCCAGCAGAGCAGAAGUAGGAGCAAGGGCUUCUGUGACUGUAUCUCCCAACGACCAAGGAGAUAUCAUUAGAAUAACAAGAGGUGCAUAUGUAUACCUACACAUGUAACAUGAAACAUGUUACAUGCAUGCAGUAUCUUAUUUAAUCUCCUUUUUUUUUUUUUAAUUUACUGAUCUAGCUUAUUGCUAAUCAUUCCGGUGAACAUGCAAUAGGAAAAUUAUACGCAGUUCAUUUUAUCAUGUAAAUGGUUCUUCAAAUACAACAACCAAACAAUGAAAGUAUGAAAGCUUCUUCUUGAUUUUGUGAUUCCGCUUGAUGUGUUCUUUCUUUUUCUUUUAUAUUACGAUGGUUGGGGGAACCUAUGUCGUAGCCUGGCCAUCCAGUCCGAAAAAAAUUAUGGAAGAUAAAGGUUCUAAUUGAAAUUUAGCCAUUUUCUUUGAACAAUCUACGUUUUGGCCGACCUUGUUUAAGUUAUAUUAAUUGAAUAUAACUUCCUUAAGUUUGUAAUUUAUUUAUUUUGGCCGUCACUAAUUGACCAAAACCUUAGUUCCGCUCAUGGUGUACUCUCUUAUAAUUAUUUUUUGCCUGAUGGUUUAUUAGAAAAAAACAAAAAGAUGUAUAUGGAUUUUAAUCUGGAGAGUAUAAUCUAAUAAUGGUCACAAAACAUAAUUUUAUCUGAGCUCAAUAAGUAGAGUUCAGAUCAUUAAGGAAAAGAAAAAAACAAGAGAGGGAAACAAAAUCAUUCACAAAAUGUCCCUCUUUUCUUUUUGAAAUCAUGAUAAUUAAAUUCUAUUUAAAAUUUAAUUUUUUUUUUAAUAUUACUAUCACAACAUAGGAAGAAUCUAACUCUUCAUCUUAUAAAUAAGAGGAAAAAAUACUAAUUAACUCAAAUUAGGAGUUGUUACUUUACUUUCUCAUAAAUAUUUGACUGUUAAAUAAUGUUUUUAUUUUAAAAAAAUGGUGAAAUUUAUUAAUUAUUUUCCUCUAGGAAGUCAAUUUUAUUAUUUAGUAUAUAUACUGUUUAUUGCUUUAUUGAAUAAGGGUCGGGUAUGGAUAAAAGUUUGUCCAGGAUUUAAUUAUCAAGCACCUGGUUCGUUUCCUAGAGAAUAAAAAAGAACUACAGUUUCCGAAUUUAAUAGGUUUUGAGAAACGUUGAUGAUUAAACAAGAACAGUAGAAUUGGAAUCGAACAUACGAGAAACAAUCAAACACACAAAAUAAGAAAAUGAUUUCCAUUUAUUUUCUGAAAUGAAUUGGUGCAGCCCACCGCAAUGGACAAGACAAGUAAGAAAAUAAUUAAUACAUGAGGACUGACCAGCACAUCGGCAUGUACCUUCCGAUUUUAGACAUUAUUAUUAUUAUAUUGGUUCCGUUGAAUAUAGGGCGAUUAUAUUCUGAUCAAUUUUUGUAUAUAUUAUAUAUAUAAUCAACAACCAACAUACACAAUUUCAGUACAGCCUUAGAUUUUGUCAUGAAUGAAACGUAUGUAUAUUUUAUUAUAUGAUAAUCUUUAUUUCAAAUUUAACGUUUUGUUACGUCAAAAUGAUUCAGUCUGUGUCGAUUUAGAAUUAAAAAGUCUAUAACUUACUAAUAUUACCUAACAAUUACCAUGUUUCUAUUAAUUAAAUCAGAGCAGAUGUUUAUUUUUUUUUUUAUUACAUGAGACUAUUGCUCAGAUUACAACUCAUAUUACAUGAGAAUAUAACUGAUAUGUACAAAUCAGACUAUAACUGGGACCAACAUACAUCAAAUCUAAUGGAGCGCUGCCCAGAUUUUAACCCUCUCAAAUAUUCGAGGGAUGUCUACUCCUCGCACUGGAGCAAGGAAGCAGACUGCCUUUACUCAAUUUUAUUUGAGGAAGGAAACACCCCCACAUGCAUUGUGGGGGUUCGAACUGCUGCUCUCCAACUUGGAGAGCAGCAGCUCUCACCACUCGGCCAAAGGCCGA